CCUACGGGCGGCAGCAGUGAGGAAUAUUGGUCAAUGGCCGUAAGGCUGAACCAGCCAAGUCGCGUGAAGGAAGAAGGUUCUAUGGUUUGUAAACUUCUUUUAUAGGGGAACAAAAGUAUCCACGUGUGGAUAUUUGCAUGUACCCUAUGAAUAAGCAUCGGCUAACUCCGUGCCAGCAGCCGCGGUAAUACGGAGGAUGCGAGCGUUAUCCGGAUUUAUUUGGGUUAAAGGGUGCGCAGGUUGUUUGUUAAGUCAGCGGUGAAAAUUUGGGGCUCAACCAUAACAUUGCCGUUGAAACUGGAUGACUUGAGUGUGUUUGAGGUAGGCGGAAUGCGUGGUGUAGCGGUGAAAUGCAUAGAUAUCACGCAGAACUCCGAUUGCGAAGGCAGCAUAC
rnacentral:rRNA from 1 species